rnacentral:misc_RNA from 1 species
CAGAGUUGCAAGACUCCCUAACCAUUGUGAACCUACCUGCUACCGUUGCUUCGGCGGGGCGGGCCCUCAGCGGCCCUCGCGCCCACCCCCUCGGGGGCAGCCCGCCGGAGGAGUACCCAAACUCUUAGCAUACAUUGGCCUCUCUGAGUAUGCUUACUAAAUAAGUCA